CAUUGUAGCAUGUAUCAGUGCUUCUGGAUUCACAUCUGCCCCAGGUAUGUCUGGCUCCCCCCCUCCCUUUCCUGGGAUAGGCCCACACCACCAUGAAAGACCUAUACUGCCCCUCCUGGGAGCUGGGACUAUACCAGAUUUUGUUUUUCCAUUCAUCAGUGAUGGUCAUUCGCGUGUUUCUAGUUUUUAGCCAUUAUGAAUAAUGCUGCUCUGACCAUUCAGGUACAAGCUUUUGUGUGGGGGCCUAUGUUUUCAUUUCUCUUGGAUAGAUAAGGAAGAGUGGAAUUGCUGGGUCAUAUGGCAACUGUUUAACCUUUCAAGGAACUGGCAAACUGUUUUCCAAAUUGGUUGCAACAUGUCUUGUAAUCUCUUAGCAAUGAGGUAUACACCAUUAUUAGUCCCAUUUUACAGUUAAGGAGACUGAGGUAAAGUCAGGUAAAGUCAGUUGCCUAAGGUCCCAGAAUUAGCUGUGAAUAUAGCCAGGAUUCGAACUUAGCUCUUACCAACUGCCUAUAUUUGGAGGGAAGGGCCGAUUUUAUCUAUUGGGCUUAGCCCCAAGCAGCUGAUUUCUGACCCUAGAGAUUGUCAACUCUUGGAUCUAUAAUAUAAUGAUAGCUCCUCGCUUUUACUCCGGUGAUGCUUCAGCUUCUAAUUUUCUUUAAUCAAACCACCAGGAUUUGAAUUUAUGCUCUGUGACCUUGAGCAAAUUACUUCUCUCUGAGCCCAUUUCCUCAUCUAUAAAUUGGAAAUUCUGAAAAA
rnacentral:lncRNA from 1 species